CCGUGUGGAAUCCUGGCUGUGUUUAAUUGGCGAGUGGCAGGCGGGCUUGAGAGACAGAGCAGGAGUGUGGGAGAUCUAAGGAAGCAAUUGGGACUCACAUGGAGAGGCAACUGCUCUCACUGGCUUUACGAGCUGUGACUCUGACUUUCUGAAACAGAGAGAAAGAAAGAGGAAAAAGGAGGAAGAAACUCAACAGAGAGGCGGAGAACAAGUGAGCUUAAGUUUGGGAGGGGGUGAACUGACUCAGAAUUUUUUUUUUUUAUACAGUCAACAGAGAAAGGUUAAGGAUAUGGAAAGAAUGGAAGGGAGAGAUAGAGAGAGGAAAUGACAGAAGGAGCUACAAAGUGCAAACAGAAUGACGGAUAGGUACAGGAAAGGCUGCAAUGGAGUGAGAGAUUAGGGGGGGAGGUGGGAGAGAAAGAGGCCCACCACUGGAGAGAGGGCAACAGCACUGACUGCAUACGGGAAAUGACAGAAGUCAAGGAGAGAGAGGUAGAGCGGGAAAGUGAAAGAGAGAAAAGAGGGGAACUAAGGGGAAGUUAGAAAGGGAAGAAGGGGGGAGGUGAGUCUUGAAAGAGAGAGAAAGAGAAAAGUGGUGGAGGAGAAGUUGAAAGAAGCAGCAUGUGAGAAAAGGGAACAGAAUGGGGAAAAGGAGAGAAAGACGGUAGAGAAGUGAAAUAAAAAGACCUACGCAGAUGAGAAAAACAGCCUUAGUGAAUGGCCUGGGUGGGGAAAAAGAGAGGAGGUAACUGGUUGUUUUGUAAGUCAUCAGCCUGGGCGGCUUUUAGUCUCCUACUGCUAUGCAAUCAGAGAAGGCGGCAAAAGGACAACGUGCCCUCCAUCCAGCCCAGGACUACUGCCACCUCUGCCUACACCAGGGACCAGUGUUAAUACAUCACAGGCAAGAGCUCAGUGAUGGGCAAUACCCACCUCUGGAGCCAAGUCUAAGGUCACACGUGUGCAGGGAGGACUUGCCUCUACCCUUUCCUCUUGAUCUGGAAACACUUGAGGACAGGACAGGGAACCAUAACCAUCAUGACCUGCAGAGGCGGCAGAUCUACUUGGGGCCAAACCACUACACUGUGUCUGAAAAGUGCAGUCCACCAUGCUACUUGUGGAGGGAGGUGAGGGCAUCUAGAUGGGACCCCUGGCUUCCUCCAUCAACAUGUGUGCAGGAGAGAUCGGCACUGGGACAUCAUGGGCAGGAGGUUGCUGAUGGGCGAGUGGCAGGCAGGCUUGGGAGACAUAAUGACUGUGGUUCUGGGAGGGACUGGUACCAUCAUGAGCUGCCACACCUCCUCAAUGGUAGCCCCAUGCUGGCAAAGGUCAGGAGCCAGCGGUACUACAAGGAAGCACGGAAUGUGUCAGAGGAGCAUCACUCGGACUGUGUGAGUGUGAACUAUCACCAGAAUACACAUCUACCAGAGCUAGAAUGGGACAAUAGACAUAAAUUUGGAUACAAUGGGCACUGUGAAAGGAGGCAUGUUACUUUUGAGGGUCACGAUGAUGGACACAUGGAGAAUAAUGGACCAGCCAGUCCUAUUCAGAACCAUUGUAAUGGAGCUAAGGCAUUCUUUUCAACUGAGGUUCCCCAGACCAAGUUUAUAGUCUCCAGGAAAUCAGGACCUAAGCUGCCAGUGAGUGGAGUCCAUGGUGGAGAGACUGAACUGGGUCAAGCAGACAGGUCAGAGGUAGGGGGGAGCCGGAGUAACCACAGGAAGAGCCAGGGAACAGUGCGUGAGCAGAUCAAACAAGUGGUGACAGAGUUAGAGGAUGUGCUCAGCGGUCUCAAACAGGUUCAAAUGGAGAUGAAAGAGGUGGUCCAACAGAUUGAUGUUCUGACUUCCAACAUUGACCUGGGAGAGGAGGAGCAAGGCCCAUUGAAUGGUCUGCCACAGGAAUCCAUGCACCAAGCCAACCGUACUGGAGUUGUGGCACUUGUCCAUAAUGCAAACAGAGAUGCACAAUCACCACAAAGACACAGCACAUGUGCUAGUGUCAAAUCACAGACCACUCGUUCCCUGUCAGACCAUAGCUUGGCUGGUGCAAUUUUCUGUCUCCCUGACAGCCAUUCUACCACAAAGAUCCACACAAACCCAUCCUCUCGUGUUCAUGGUUGGGUGACUGUUGAGUCUGUAGACAGCAGCCGGAUGAAUCAUACGUCUGCUCCGGAGAUCCAGAGGACAAAGAGCACUGCCAAUGGAGACUGCCUGCGAACCAGACCUCCUAGAGUCAAAGUCAAAGAGCUCCAGCAUCCAAGAAACAGAACAGAUCAUAAAAAGAAUCCCGACCCUCCUUAUCCUCUAACACAGAUCAGCUUGGCUAAAACUCAGAGACCCCCACCAUACCCACAAAAUGGACUGGUCAAAGUACCCUCAAAGGAUUCACAUGUCUUGAAGGCACCUCCUUACCCUGGAAAACAGAAACAGAUAAGCUCCACCAUGGUGUAAAGGUGGGGUGACAAGGGAAGUUCCACUGGCUCAGAGCUGUGAUUGCACUCAUGAGGACAACACAUACCCACACACACAGACACACAAAGAACGUAAAUAGGAUGUUUUUUCCCUCAGCAUCCACAUGGUUAGGUAACACAGGGUCUCGCCACAUUUCUGAUGAAGGCUCAAGAAAGACAGAGUCAUGGCAAAACAAUUUUGUUCAGAAACUGGGUUCGGGUCAUCAGGGGGUGUACAUUUUUGCACUUAAAAACAGUCUGAACCAUCUGUGCCUAGGGAUGCCAAAAAGAAGAGGUACAUCUAACAGCAGUGGAAGGGCAUCUUACCAGAACUUUCCCAUGGAAAGCACUAGAAAUUCAUUCUCUCUCUCUCUCUCUCUCUCUCUCUCUCUCUCUCACCAACCCAGACUGCACUUCAUCCAUCAGAACAAGCUGCCCUUUUAAUUAAUUUUUUUUUUUGCCAUACUUGUGAACCACCCUCUGAGCUUUUGCCCCUUAAAGGUGGCACUACAGAGGAAUAAGCUGUUCCUAUAAUGCAAGAUCUUCCCAAAGCUUGCAUGGGAUUCGAAGCCUGUGAGUGGACUGUUCAGACAACCAAAGAGAAUUGAAAGUGUAUUACUGUAUUAUUCUUUAUUAUUGGUUAAAUGUUUAAGAGAAAAAAGCAAGAGUAUCAGAGGAUUAUAUUCAACCUGUGUUUUCUGCAUCAGUUUGUAAACCAUACACAUUAUACUGCAAUUAGUUCAUGAGUUAUUUAAAGCCAAAUAUAAGGCAUUUAGUUUUGUAUUUAAGCUGUAUCAUUGAUAUAUGCUGUCCAGAAGAGGGCGCUACAGGCCAGAAAAGUGUCCCUGAACUUUGAUGACGUUCACAUGAAAUAAAAAAGGAGACUUUUGGAACAUA